GGAGAUGUCCCUGGAUGUAAGAGUCAUCGUCUGUAGAGGAGUUGCAUCCCAGCCAAGAAGGAAUUGCAGAGGAGGAAAGUGGGGGUAGAGGACAGCAAAUGCCAUCUAGUCCCGUUGACUCUCAGAGAGGUCCUCAAGUCUCCGCCAGAGGAAGUCAGGGAGCACGCAAUCAAAGUCUUUUAAAUUUAAAAACUUUCAAACUGUAUUUUAAGUAGUUUUUUUUUGUUUGUUUGUUUUUUAGGGUUCCAGAGUCUCCACCAGAAUGGAUGGAAGAGGAGGUCGGACUUUUUAUAGAUAACCUCCUCAUCCAGAUGUUAGAGGCACGUCCAGCAUUGUGGGACCACACCAACCGCCGCCACGCAGACCAUCAAUCAACCCGGCUCCUCUGGCACGAAAUCGGUGAGGCAAUUGUGCCAAAUUGGGAGG